rnacentral:rRNA from 1 species
AUACGUAUGUCGCAAGCGUUAUCCGGAAUUAUUGGGCGUAAAGCGAGUCUAGGCGGCUUGUUAAGUCAGAUGAGAAAAUGCGGGGCUCAACUCCGUAUUGCGUUUGAAACUGGCAGGCUAGAGUACUGGAGAGGUGGGCGGAACUACAAGUGUAGAGGUGAAAUUCGUAGAUAUUUGUAGGAAUGCCGAUAGUGAAGACAGCUCACUGGACAGAUACUGACGCUAAAGCUCGAAAGCGUGGGGAGCGAACAGGAUUAGAAACCCUUGUAGUCC